UGACCUGGAUCGACUGUUGAGAGAUUUUGAAAUUUAAGGACCAAAAUGCUACAUAUCUGGGAUAGACUAAUCAUUAGAUGACACAAAAAAAGAUUGCACAACGGUAAAGAGACAUCUAGCGAAUAAAGACAAGUAUACAAACAAAAACAAAUCAGCUCCUUAUUGAAUAUAUAUAUAUAUAAGGCAGGCAUCCUCCACAAUACAAAUGUGUGUACUGUCGUGAAUUUCACCAUAUGAAGAACUGUAGAGCUCAAAACCAGUCAGAGAAAAGGCAAUGGCGGAUACAGAUUUGCCAAGUAUAACUAAUCUAACUAUUUAUUCCCAAGCACAAUAUGGUUCCAACAACAUGAAAGAUCCGCAAAAAAUUAUGUAUUCCUUUCUCUCCACACAAGUUUUGUUCUCAAUGUAAGGACUAAAUUCCAAAGUCUUAAUUGUAUUGGCAAUUCCAUACGACAACACAUAUUUUAUAUCUGAGUUGUAAUUUUAUUAUUUUUUAUAAGUCAUUAUUUGUGUUCAAGAGUGAACAUUUUGUAUAAAAAAAAUGGUUGAUUACAGUGAGACGGAUUUUGGCGAAGACAAAUCGAUGGAGGGAUCAAUCCGGUUAACAAUCGAUGCCUUCUGUUAUUUUGAAUGAAAAGCAUGUUCUAAAGACGUCUUUAUAUAGACUUUCUUUUAUUCCAAGGUGGGGACCACAGCUUAAAAAGGAAGGGAUGGCAAGAAAAAUAUAGGGCUAUAUACUACAACAUAGUGAAUAUAAAAGAAACCAGGGUGCAAGCCACAGUGGGGGACGGUGAUCAAAAAGAGGGGGAAAAAAAGAAAAAAAAGAGCCGCACUUUUAUUUGGAGCAAAGAAACUUUCAAGAGGGUCUCUUGCUUUUGCAUCUUGGAGUACAUAUUGAUCUAUGGAUCAUUGAGCGCAAAAUCCAUCUCCAAGAGGUUUUAAUAUCAUCUCUUAAACCUAUUUCAGAAAAAAGCCCUAGGUGGAUUCCUUUUUUUUUUUGAUAAGUAAAUAUAAUUAUAUAUAGAAGAAGACAUUAAGGGAAUGCCGCCCUAGGUGGAUUCUUACGCAAGUUAAAGUCCUUCGGUCGAUUCCGGGAGGCAAACGGAAGGCUUGUGGAUUCAAGGCAGCGGCGGUCAGACACUAGGUGUGGUGAAGGAGGAUUCGGCAGGUAGAACUUAGGGCAAUUAGUGAGGAUUCAUAAUCAUAGGUAAGUUUGUUCGUAACUACACAUUUAAGUAUAGUGUUUUAAUUCAUUUCAAUGGUUUUUACCCGUUUUGGGGUUUUCCAUGUAUAUCGUUGCGUUCGUUGUUUGGUUGCUUUCGUUUGUGUGAUUUGAUUAGUAAUUGAUUUGUGUAGUGAUUAAAAAAUCGCGCCUAGGCGAGGCGAGCUAUGAGGCAAGACUGGGUCCCCUCACAAUGGUGAGGCAAGACAAGUAUGGAAGAG